GACCUGCGGAGGAUCAUUAAAAAAAUACGCCUGGUGAAAGUGUGAAAACACCGAAUCCAGUGCUGUAUACAACCACCUGUUUACCUUUACCUGUUUCUUCCGUGGAAUUACGGGUGCUCUUUCUGCUUGCAGCUUAGAGUUACCUUCCACGGGUGCAUUUUAAAAAUUGUUUUGUAUUAUUGUCUGAAAAAAAAUUAAAAGUUAAAACUUUCAACAACGGAUCUCUAGGUUCUCGCAUCGAUGAAGAACGCAGCGAAAUGCGAUAAGUAGUGUGAAUUGCAGAUUUCAGUGAAUCAUCGAAUCUUUGAACGCACAUUGCGCCCUCUGGUAUUCCGGAGGGCAUGCCUGUCUGAGCGUCAAUAAAUCAAUCAAACCUUGGUUUGGUAUUGGGAGAAGUGGCUUUGCCUCUCUCCUUUAAGCUAUUGGCGACGCUAUUUCAGCUUGUAAGAUGUAGUAGGUAAUUUCUCGUCAAAGCAACUGGAUGGAUGUCUGCCAAAUGAACGAUUUAUUUAACAGCUUGACCUCAGAUCAGGUAGGGAUACCCCCUGAACUUAAGCAUAUCAAUAAGCGGAGGA
rnacentral:rRNA from 1 species